GAUGGAUGCUGCAUUAAAGUAUUUUAAAGAUGUUGAUUCUAAUGACUUAAAACUGAAUGAAUUUGAAGAAGCAUGUGGUGUCGGGGUUGUAGUUUCAGCUGAAGAUAUUGAGAAAACUGUUAGUGACGUCUUUGAAGAGAAGAAGAAAACAAUACUAGAGAACCGUUACCGAGAAGAGCGUAAGCUAUUGGGAGAUGUCCGGAAAAAGUUGCCAUGGGCAGAUUUUGAGAUUGUAUCG